CGGGACGUUCGUAGCUUUAAAAAGCAGUGGGUGCAGUGGAAGGCUGCGCCAACAAACAACCCACCUUGAAAAAUAGUAAUUUUUUUUUAUAUAUCUGAUACGCAAAUAAGUAGACCGAUCACUCCAAGAACUAAGAACGGCCAUGCACCACCUAUCACACAAUGAUGAAAGGAUUACAUAUGUAACGAAGUAUUAUAAUAAUAAUAUAACACUUUUCUCCUGUCAAUCCUCAGUGUGUCCGGACCCGGUAAGUUUUCCCGCGUUGGGCCAAAUUAAGCCACAUGCUCCAAGCGUUCUUGUGGUGCCCUU
rnacentral:rRNA from 1 species